UACGUAGGGUGCGAGCGUUGUCCGGAAUUAUUGGGCGUAAAGGGCUCGUAGGCGGUUUGUCGCGUCGGGCGUGAAAUCCCUGGGCUCAACCCAGGAACUGCACUCGAAACUGCCUUUCUUGGGUGCCGGAGAGGAAAGCGGAAUACCUGGUGUAGAGGUGAAAUUCGUAGAUAUCAGGUGGAACACCAGUGGCGAAGGCGGCUUUCUGGACGGUAACUGACGCUGAGACGCGAAAGCGUGGGGAGCAAACAGG
rnacentral:rRNA from 1 species